rnacentral:tRNA from 1 species
GGCGAGGUAGCUCAGUUGGUUAGAGCAUCGGAUUCAUAAACCGAAGGUCGAGAGUUCAAAUCUCUCCCUUGCUA